ensembl:snRNA U6 U6 spliceosomal RNA
ACAUCACUUUGGCAACCUAUAUACUAAAACUGAAAUGAUACAAAUGAUUAACGUGGUCCCUGUACAAGGAUGACAUGCAAAUUCAUGAAGCAUUCCAUAUUUUU